CCCCACUUCCACCUUCUUCUAGGAGUACCUCUCUCUCUCCACGGAGUACAUCCAGCCAGCCAGCCUCGCUCUCUCUCUCCUUCCUCCCUCGAGCGCCGACAGAUCCCAGCCGGCCUGCCCGGGAUGGCGUCGACGACGGCGUACGCGCGGCCGUCCAAGCUGCCGGGUGCGGGCCCGGGGGAGCGGAGGCCGGCGCCGCCGCGGCUCAUCAGGGCCUUCCUCGCCUCCGGCGCCAAGAUCGAGCCCCGGAAGCUCGCCGCCGGCCUGCUCGCCGGCUGCUGCCUCGCGCUCCUCACCUACGUCUCCCUCGCCAAGCUCUACGCCGUCUACUCCCCCGUCUUCGCCACCACCUCGGCCCUGCUCCAGAACGCCCCGCCGUCGUCCUCCUCGGCGCCGGGGGCGGUGGCCGCCCCGCGUCCGCCCGAAGAACCCGCAUUUACUGGCGGCAACAACGGCGGCGCCGUGGAUCGCGUCGAUCUGACGGAGAAGGGCCCGGGGACGGCGGGCUCUCGAGAGCCCGGGGUGCCGGAGGCGGUCUCAAGGAAGGAACACGCCGAGAAGGCGCCGGCGCCGGCCAACACCUCGGCGCCAAUGCCAUCUCAGGGAGAAAGGAAGAGCAACAGCAGCAGCAAUGUCGCCGCCGGUCCGAUGAGCUGCGACGAAAAUGGCGUGGACGAGGGGUUCCCCUACGCGCGGCCGGCGGUCUGCGAGCUGUCCGGCGACAUCCGUGUCAGCCCCAGCCAGAAGACCAUGUACCUCGUCAACCCGUCCGGCGGCGGCGGCUUCGACGAGAAGGGCGAGAAGCGGCUACGGCCGUACGCCCGGAACGACGACUUCCUCCUGCCUGCCGUGGUGGAGGUGACUGUCAAGUCUGUCUCCUCCCCUGAGGCUGCCCCACAGUGCACGAGGCAGCAUCGCGUCCCCGCGGUCGUGUUCUCCGUCGCAGGGUACACGGACAACUUCUUCCACGACAACACGGACGCGCUGAUCCCGUUGUUCCUCACGACGGCGCACCUGAAAGGCGAGGUGCAGCUGCUGAUCACCAACUACAAGCCGUGGUGGGUGCAAAAGUACACGCCGCUGCUGCGCAAGCUCUCCAACUACGACGUGAUCAACUUCGACGCCGACGCCGACGUGCACUGCUUCUCCCGCGGGUACCUCGGCCUGUACCGCGACCGCGACCUCAUCAUCGCCCCUCACCCGACCCGCAACCCGCGCAACUACACCAUGGUGGACUACACGCGCUUCCUCCGAGCCGCGUACGGGCUCCGCCGCGACCAGCCGGCAGUGCUCGGGGCGGAGCCCGGAAUGCAGCCCCGGAUGCUGAUCAUCUCGCGCGCCGGCACGCGCAAGCUGCUGAACCAGGACGAGGUGGCCGCCGCCGCGUCGGAGCUCGGGUUCAACGUGACCGUGGCCGAGGCCGGCGACGACGUGCCGGCGUUCGCGGCCCUGGUGAACUCCGCCGACGUCCUUCUGGCCGUGCACGGUGCCGGGCUGACCAACCAGAUCUUCCUGCCGACCAACGGGGUGGUGCUGCAGAUCGUGCCGUGGGGGAACAUGGACUGGAUGGCGACCAACUUCUACGGGCAGCCGGCGCGGGACAUGCAGCUCCGGUACGUGGAGUACUACAUCGACGAGGAGGAGACGAGCCUCAAGGACAAGUACCCCAGGGAUCACGUGGUGUUCAAGGACCCCAAGGCCCUCCACAAGCAGGGGUGGCAGGCGCUCGCCGACACCAUCAUGAAGCAGGACGUCAAGGUGAACAUGACCAGGUUCCAGCCCUUCUUGCUCCAGGCCAUGGACGAGCUACAGGAGUAGCAGCAUCGUCUCCCCAGCCAGCCCAGGUAAACUCACAUCACAGCCACCAAAAACUGUACAACAAGCAAGCACAACAAGGAGAAAUGCAGACUAAUGUGAUUCUAGGACUAGUUGCUACUACUGCUGCUGCCGGAAAGGGUGAUGAUUUGAAUCUGAUCAAAAGAGGAGGCUUCAAUGUAUAUGGUUGUUUCUGUCAUGUUGAGGAUUCAAGGAACCUGCCCUAGUGGAUCGUCUUGUUGUACAAUUUGUCCUUGCUACUGUAAAUGGAAGGAUCAUCUAUGCUUUCUCCAACACCCGGGAAAAAGCCACUACUUUGUUGCUAAUGUCCUUGUCUCUAUGAAAGAGUAGGAGCAUCGUGUUUGGGAUGUGCGUAGUCAAUUUUGAGAAUCACUGUCGUGUCGAAGGUGGAGAAGUUUGGCUGAAAUUUGGACAGUGGAAGGAAAGAACCAGUGGGAUUGGUGAAAUCUGCACGCUGGAACCAAGUGCGAAUGUGGCGAGAAUGUUGAUGGUUGCUGUUAGCCUGGACUGCUGCGCCUUUUGUUUAUCCUCUAUGGUUAUUUUCAUGUGCGGCUUAACCUUAUCUCAGUAUCGAACAAUUGUUGCUGUUGUUCAACUUUGUGGCUGUUUAAUAUGAGUACCUUCGCAAAAGGCUUGAUGGCUUGUUAUACAUGUGGUUUCUAUGCACAUGUGUUCUAUCACAUUCCAUUACAUGUUGUUAAAAGGGAUGAGAAAAGUGACCACUAUUUUCACUAGGAAAACUGGAAAGAUCUGUAUCCAGUGUUGUCUAUAUCUAGUGUUGUCUAUGUUAUUAAAUACCUAAAUUUGAUGAAAUUGCAC
rnacentral:rRNA from 1 species